UUAAUCUACUAGCUUUAGAUUUAUACAAUUUUUUUUCACUUUAUUAAAGAAUGAGAUUUAUUUAAAAAAAUAUGUACUUUUUAUUUAAAAUAAUGUUUAAAAUAUAAACUUUUGGGGUUAAUUUUUUUAUAAUUUCAAGUUUAAAAAUAUAAAAAGUGAAAAAUUUAAAUAUAAUAUCCAAAAGAUUGAAGAUAAUACAAUGGGAUGCAAGAAGUGUGCCUUUGUCCCAAAAGGUAAAAUUUUAUUCAACCCUUCAAGAAUUGUAAAAUAUAAAUUAAUACAGUAAUAAAAUUAUAUUUUAACCCUCCAAAUAUUUAUAUUUCAAAUUUGGUUCUCCUAAAAGUUUGUAUGAAGCUAGAUUUGAUAUAAGAUAUAUAAAUAAUGGCAUAAAUAAUAUUUUAAUAAAAUAACAAAAAUAAUGAACUCAAGAAAAAAUCAUGAAAAAGAAAAGGCAUAAUGAUAAAUUAGCCCCUAAAGUUUACUCCUUUUCCAUUGUAGUUCUAAUUUUGUUUAAGCUUUAAAUUUUAGUCAAAUUAUUUUUUGUUGAACGGAAAAGCUGAUUGAGCUAUUAAAAUUUUAACAAACUGAUGUGAUAGUUCGCGUGACAAUUCAUGUAUAUUUCAACUGUGGCAGAGCUAAGUGUGAUUGGUAGGGCUUCGGCCUUCCCUAAAAUGAAAAAUUUUCUAUUUAGGUUCUUUAUAAUUUAUAAAAUUUUAAAUUAGCAAUAAUAAAAUUAUACUUUGCCCUCUUAAAAAUAAUAAAAAUUUAAUUUAAUUUUUUAAAAAUUAUAAAGAUGUAGACUAUUAAACUAGUGAAUUAAAAUGGUAAAAUUGCAUGUUUACGAUAGUAAACCUAUACACUGGCCAUCAAAUAUAUAUAGAAAAAAAGAAUUUUCUUUUUUCUUGUGGAAAACCCGUCAGCUUAAUGUUUCUGAAUUACCGGUGGACAAACAAAAGCUUACUGCUCCAAUAAAAUCAACUGCUGACAAGUUUCAGCUUCUCCCUGAGUUUUUAAAGGUUAGAGGGUUAAUGAAGCAGCAAGUGGAUUCUUUUGAUUAUUUGGUUAAUACUGGGAUUAAGAAGAUUGUUCGUGUCAAUGACAGGAUUGUAUCUGAUAUUGAUCCCAGUAUUUACCUCAGGUAUUCAGCACCGAUAUUCGUCAACGGAGAGUACAUUCAAGUUAGAUAUGGGCAGAAAACUAGACUAGAAAAGGUGAAGCAGAACUCACAAGGCCAUAUCCCCAUCACAAUCAGUCACCAAGAAAUACCUACCAGGUUUUUUUACAUCUUGAACUUGGUUUACAUGUGAACUGUAAUUUUUGCUUUUAUCAUCUCUAAAUGUUUCUGUAUUUGUAGUCAUGUGCUAUGGGGAAGCAAGCAAUGGGAAAUAUUGCAUAUAACCAGACAAGCAGUAUUACUUAGUAUACUUUAAAUUUAUUUUCCUACCUUUGAACAAAGAGUCCUUGUAUGUCACCGCUCAGUUGCUAAGGAUUUAGCCUUCAACCUUCUCAGGCGAGGCUAUUUUUAUUGCGUGCUCAUCCUAGUGCGCUUUAUUGUGCAUUAGGCUUCAACACAAGGUGAUGAAAAAGCUAGCUUGACAGAAGCUGUGAAGUAACAUUUAAGUCCUUAAUUUUUUAUUUUAAAACUCAAAUAUCCACUUAAGUUUAUGAAGGUUUCGUUAGUCUAAAACAAGCAUCUACUGUUUUCCAUAAGCUAUGCUUAACUUGAAGUGAUUAAAUAACCUUUUAUCCAUGAUUUUCCAGUGGUGAAGUACGGUUCUUUCUUUUUACAUUUUCACUGCUGGGAUUAUUGACAGUAACUAGCUUCAGUCUCAAAAUAACCAUCUUUUGACAUAGGUUUGCAGAAAAUGUGGUUUGUUAGGAUACUACAGCCAUAAGCUGAAAACUGGGAUUUGUUCUUCAUGUAAAAACGGAGAUAAUGUUUCUACUAUGAAACUACCGUACGCAUGCAAGCUUUUAAUCCAGGCAAGGGCGAAGCCAGGAAACUUUGGUUGGGAGUUGAGAGUGUCAGGAUAAGAAUAUAAAUUGUUGGGGGGUCAAACUUAAAAUUUUUAUGCGAAAAAGAUUAAACUGUAAUCCUAAAUAGUAAGAAGGGCUCAAACUGCAACAUGCUCAUUUUAUCCCCCCUUUGGAUUCGCCCCUGCACACGGGUGUAGCAUGGUACUUGUUAGUUCCACUUCUGAGCACAUGUAUUCGAAAAGCACGUAUUUCAUUUAUAUUUACUCCAACUUGGAUCAAGUGCCGGAUAUGAGUAUGUUCCGAUAUUGGUAUGUUCAACUUUUUCAAUGUUUUUUCAUGGUAUUUGGAGAGCCCUUGGAGGGUGUUAUAUCCUCGUAUCCAUGUCCAGGUAUGAGUUAGACAUGGAGUACUUCAAGAGAAACGAAGAAUAAGAGCAACAUAUUAUUUCUUAAGUUUGUUGUUUGCUAUGGUUAUUCAAGUUGUUGGAAAUUGUAAUUUAUUCAUGAUUUGGUUCGAUAUUCUUUGUCUUUAUCGAACUUUUCUCGGUAUUGGUUUUCUUUGUUCAUCUCUUAUUACGACGAGAUAUAAAAAGGGGAGUUAUACUUAGAAUCGGAA